GACGAACGCUGGCGGCGUGCCUAAUACAUGCAAGUCGAACGCAGUGGGGACGGGUGCUUAACACGUGGGUAACCUCCCAUCAGAGGGGAUAACACUUGGCAACAGGUGCUAAACCGAUAUUGGUGGAUGGACCCGCGGUGCAGUAGCUAGUGGGUGAGGUAACGGCUCACCAAGGCAACGAUGCCUAGCCGACCUUGGAGGGUGAUCGGCCACCCUGGAACUGAGACACGGCCCAGACUCCUACGGGAGGCAGCAGUAGGGAAUCUUCGGCAAUGGACGAAAGUCUGACCGAGCAACGCCGCGUGAGUGAAGAAGGUUUUCGGGUCGUAAAGCUCUGUUGUUAGAGAAGCGGUAUCUAACCAGAAAGCCACGGCUAACUACGUGCCAGCAGCCGCGGUAAUUC
rnacentral:rRNA from 1 species